rnacentral:rRNA from 1 species
ACUCCUACGGGAGGCAGCAGUGGGGAAUAUUGCACAAUGGGCGCAAGCCUGAUGCAGCCAUGCCGCGUGUGUGAAGAAGGCCUUCGGGUUGUAAAGCACUUUCAGCAGUGAGGAAGGCGGAGUCGUUAAUAGCGGCCUCGUUUGACGUUAGCUGCAGAAGAAGCACCGGCUAACUCCGUGCCAGCAGCCGCGGUAAUACGGAGGGUGCGAGCGUUAAUCGGAAUUACUGGGCGUAAAGCGCAUGCAGGUGGUUUGUUAAGUCAGAUGUGAAAGCCCGGGGCUCAACCUCGGAAUAGCAUUUGAAACUGGCAGACUAGAGUACUGUAGAGGGGGGUAGAAUUUCAGGUGUAGCGGUGAAAUGCGUAGAGAUCUGAAGGAAUACCGGUGGCGAAGGCGGCCCCCUGGACAGAUACUGACACUCAGAUGCGAAAGCGUGGGGAGCAAACAGGAUUAGAUA